CGCAGGGAAACUGAGGCACGGCUUGGGGGAACGGGCAGGUGAUCGCCCUGAGCCUGCCGGCCCCUUGCUCCUGAGGGGAAGCUGAGGGACCAUGGCCUUUUCAAGGGGCAUCACCCCACCUUGAAGUUUAACAAGGACCCCACAGGUGUAAGGGGCGGGCUGGAGGCCUUUCCAGGCUGCUGGGGGCUUCGAGGUAUCUUUCCCAGCCCUUGGCCUUGGGAGGUCUCCGGGAGCCUUGAGGAGUGCGGAUAAGAAGAUCAAUCCAAGGCGAAGGAGUGGGAUAAGUGACUUGCCCAGGGUCACCCAGGCAGGAGGCGCAGAUUUAGCUGCUAAGCCACGCCCACAUCCCUGCAGGAAAAUGGAGGGCGGGGAGGCAGAAAGGCUGCAGUUGCAGGUGCCUACGCUGGGCCUCCCGCAUCCAGCGGAGAAACAGGAGCGCCGAAGAUGCCUCGACAGGCCCUCCAGGGUCGUGGGUUGUGGACCCCGGGCGGGAGUGGGAGUGGGACUGGAAAAGCUGGUGUAGGAAGGGUCUCUGGGGAAGCGCCAGCACCUGGAUGGCCACCAAGCCUGUACAGAGCCGCCUUCUCUAGGACUCUCUAAAGCUCUUGUCUCUGAGAGGAGAAACUGAGUCCCUUCCCCUCCCAAGCCCUGAACGGGGGCCAUCCUUACAAAGGAGGAAACUGAGGCACGGGAGGGGAAAGGCCCAGAGAUGCCAACAGCUGCUGCCGGGGGUGGGGAGGAGGGGACCAGACAGGGGACAGCCGGAGGCCCUAGCCAGGUGCCCUAGGACUGUCUUCUAGGGGGAGGAGGACCCUGGGGGGGACUGGGUGAGGUGGUUGCAGUGGAGGGCGAGGCUGGGAGGUCCCAACAUCCCAGAGUGAUCCAGGACUUCUACAGGAGCUGGGCUGGCUCUGCAGGAGGAAGGACCUCAUUGGAGGAGAGAUGCCAGUCAGCCAGCACUCAUUAACCGCCUGCUGUAUGCCAGGCAGUACUGGGGGUGGGGGGCAGAAGGUAGCACCUGAGCUCCACUCUAAGGCUCCAGGCUAAUGGGGAAUAGAGAGACUCGGCUCUCCUGGGAAGAAAGUCCCUUCCCCUGGGUGUUUGAUCUCUUUCUGGGUCAUUUAGAGAGUUGCAGCGAACUCUGACAGGUUCAGUAGGUCUUAGUCAGGGUCCCACACACAGCUGGCAUGUAUCAGAAGCAGGACUUGAACUCUGGACUUCUGGGCACAAAAACUGAUCCUUUUUCUUGAGACAAACACUGCCUCUAGAGAGACAGAAAGGAGGGGGGGUUCCAGACUUAGGAACUGGUCUACCCUGGAUGGCUCACUUAACUGUUUGACUCAGAACAGUAAACCAACCUUGUUGUGUCUGCCAAGAAAACCCUAAAUGUGGGACACAAAGGAAAUGACUGAACUGGGCAGAGCAAUACAUUUGGAAUUUUCGGGAAUGACCUGACCACAGCUCUACCCACAAUGUACUGGUUUUGUGACAGUUUUGGUUGACGUUUAUUUGGACAUUUUUUCAUAUGGCUGUUUAUAGAGUUCAGAUGUCUUCUUUUAAAAACUGCCUGCUUGGUGGUGGAGCACAGAGGGUCCAGGACCCAGCCAAGGAGUGGAGUGGGAUGGGAUCAGGAGGGGCAGGGUCUGAGGGAGUUGUACCCUGGUCAGACAACCAUCUACUGCUCAUCUCUCCUUGUUAUUUCUUGCUUUGGCUUUCAGGCUUGGGGCAGUGGUGCCCUUUCACCUGCUGGUCUCAUCCAAUCCUGAGCUUUCUUCAAGAUUCUUCUGGGCGCUUCCUCUCCUCCUCAUCCCCCUUCCUUGUUCCUGGGCUCUCUCCUUCCUCAAAUGAAUCCAGAAUGACUCCUGCGAAUAUGUGGUCCUCUCUCCUCCCCCAGGAGAAUGUCAGAAGUUCCUUGAGGACAAGGGCUAUUUGCUUCUCUAUACCCAGCCUAGCAGGGAGAGAAGGAAGGAAGGAAAGGGGAAAGGAACCAGCAUUUAUCAAAGCACCUAUUAUGUGUCAGGCACUGUGCUAAGCCCUUCACGAGUGUGACCUCACUGUAUAAAACUUGUAUGUCAGAGACACUUGCAGCUUGCUCGUCUGUCCUUGAAUGGAACAUGAGCAGACAGAAAGAUCGGGAGUGGCCAUGCUGGACGGUUGGUGUGUUCAGAAACUGACUGCAGAAGGGGACAGGAUCAUCCCAGAAUCAAGGGUCUUCGCACGGGCACGUGGAGGCGCCCAGAAGCGCUGUGAGGACAGCGAUGGAGAGUCAAGGAGGGGAGGAUGAUCCUUGAAGCUCUGGAAUUCUGGGACUGUGUCUCCAGUCCUCUAAAGGAUUUCUGGUAAGCUGAGGCAGCUCUCAGGAGGGCCUGGAUCUACGAGACCUCCUUGCUGGGGUGCCAGAGAGGAAACACCCUCUGUCCGUGACCCCCAUCUGUGCUUGCCAAGCCAUUGCUCUCCUGCUCCCUUGCAGGGGAGGGAUCCAUCCCAGGAAGAUGCAAACCACGGAAGAUGGCCCUGUGGCUACCCACGGCUCUCACAAGGGCCACAGGCCGUCCACAAGCAUCCUCUAAUGAGGGUGUGGGCCGGGCCAGGCACCGAGUCCUGGAACCCCUGCAGCGCUGCGGGCUGGAGGAAGCCAAGAAGAAAGAUUUGAGCUUGGGAAGGACCCGGCCUCGUGGAGACCAUCUGGAAGGCUCUGAAUGUGUUUUCUUUUUUACGCCUGAGCUCAGAUUGAGGAGGGCAGAUCCGGACAGACUAAGGAGCAGGAUUCCAAGGGAAGGAGACCAGGACCAGAGGAGGACAGAGCCCCACCGAAAUAUUGAUGAGCCCUUCUUGGGGCUAAGUGCUGGCCUCCAAGAGCUUUCGUGGCCAGUGUCUGUGGCAGAAGAAGAGGCAAAGAAGCCACAGAACUGGAAGUACGAGGGUCUGCCAGGACCUUCAGAUUGGGAGACUGGUCUGUGCUUCAGAGGAGGCAGCACGUGAGCUGAAUGUGAUGGAAAGACACAGGACAGUCCAUGCAAAGCCUCAGAGGAUGGAAAGAGAACGUCAAGUCCGGGGAAUGACUAGUGGGUCAGUUUGGCUUGGACAGUGAAUGGGUUAAAGGGCAGGGAGGGUGGGGAAGCUUUAAACAUUAGGCCAAAGAAAGAAACUAAGAAAGUGAGGAAGGAUAGCAAGGUGUAGCAUGCUGGAGUCAGAAAGACCUGAGUUCAAGUUUUGUCUUGGACACUGCCUAGCUAUGUGACCCUGGACAAGUCACUUCACCCUGUUUGUCUCGGGUUCCUCAUCGGUAAAGUGAGCUGGAGAGGGAAAUGGCAAGCUCUGCCAUGAGAAGAGUCUGCCAGCUCUGAAACAACCACCACACAGGUAGAAGGAGGACAGAGGAGGGAGAUUAACAUGACAGAGGCCAAUGAAGAGAAUACACAGGAGGGUGUCUGACAGGAGGGUGUCUGACAGCAUCAGAAUCACAGAGACGUACGGAAGAUGGAACCUGACCUGCCGGUGAAGAGUACGUUGGUAGCCCUGCAAAGAGCAGUUCCAGCUGAAUGCUGAAGUGGUAGCUACUCUUCUUCCCAGUUUACAUUUGGGGAAACUGAGGCAAUGACAAGGACAGGCUUUUGAAAGAGGUAGGGGAGACCUAGGCAGGUUAGCAGGAGAUAACAGGAGAAGAGUAAAAAUGGGAGAAUGAGGAGAGAUGGUCGGGGGGAGCUGCUGGAGAAGCAUGGAGGGGCCUGAAUGGGGCAUUGCCCUUGGUAAGGAGAAAUGCCACCUCUUCCUCAGGACUGGAACGAAGGAGUGCAGACUGGGGAGGAGGAGGGGGAGCUCCUCCUAGAGGGCUUCUGUUCCUUCAGGGAAGCAGGAAGCCAGGCCUUCCUUCUGCGAAUGUGGAGAGGCCUGGGAUGCCAGCUGUGGGAAGAGUCAAUAGGGGAGAAUGAAAUGAAAGCAUUGUGAUGCAGGCCGAGCUAGAAUGAGGUGACAGCUCGGUAGGGGAGCCAGCCAGGACCCCCGAGGGUGCUCCUGCCUGGGGACUCAGCAGGGAGGAAUGAGGAAUCCAAGGCAAGACAACAGGUGGAAGGGAGCGGUCAGUGAUGGAAGAAGGUUCCCGAAGAGCAAAGGCAACGGCUUGGAGGAAGCCAUCCGGACUUGCGGGGAUGCUGAGCGGAAAUAAUCCGUCCAAGAAGAGGGAGGCUCUGAGCAGGGAGAGAAAUCUUAACGCUCCUCGUCAUGCAAGUGGCCUGUUCAUGGCUGACCAGACAGCAGAGGAGGGCGGAGAGCCCCAACAAGGACUGGUUCUGGGCAAGAUGCCGUAAUGCAAGGAAAGGGAACCCUUUGUCUUGCCCUCAGGGAGCUCGCGAUCUCCUGGGAAAGACAGGAUGGAAAAAUAACGGGAUGCAGAAGAGAUUCACCCAGUAGGUGAGAAGGGAAAGGAUUGAAUCUCCCAAGACAGUGGCUGAAUCACAGGAUCGAGCAGGAGUCUCGGCCCUUACUGGGGGGAAGUGGGGGAGCUCGCAUCCGUGUCUCUAAUCUCCGGGGGCUUAAGUCCGAGACUGCUCUCCCCGGGGACCCAGAUGGUGUGGGUGGGGGCGUAUGACCCAGGGCAGGUGGGGAAACGCUUUGUAACUUCUGUUCCAGACUCAUCUUUGAUGUUAAUGGGUGGCUAAUGUUCGGGAGAACCCCUGGAAUGGGGGCUGGAGAGCCUGGCAUUAGAACUGAACCCAGAGGGGCAGACGAGGACAGCUUCCCUCUGGGAGAGGAAAUUCAGAGUCUCGCUGUAGGUGGGCCUUGUUUGGAAUAAAAUCCAGCCGCGGGCGUUUGGAGGGAGCCCCUGGAAAGCUCUCCAUCCAGGACUUUCAUUGCUGCAUACUCUAGCUCUGUCAGUCAGGCCAAGAAGCAUUUAUUGAGCACCUACUGUGUGCUGGGCCAAAGGCUAACUGGUGGGGACGGGCGCUGGCUGAAGGGAUCCAUUAGACAAAAACGGGCGAUUUCUUCUCUCCCAUUGGAGCGUUUCCUUUGGAGAGCUUGUUCCAGAUGCUGGUCUUCGCUGGCCUUGGCUGAACCUUCAGACACCGAUGGAUUGAUCUCGGGGCCAGUAGGAGGAGGUGGCCUCGGCAUUCCAAAGGGUGGCACCCAGCUCUCCUGGCAGCAGGGCAGAGGUCCCGGCCUCGGGAAUGGGGAGCCCCAGCAGAGGGGAUGGGAAGCGGACUGGAGGAAGUGUCCAAGGUGUGUUCUGCCCCCCUCUCUUGUUGCCAUUACAGUCCAUGGGGGUCCCUGGACAGCUUCUUCACAGGAAGGAUCUAUUGCAUCCAGAUUGGCAUUUUGGGAAACGGCUUGUUUGUGGCCACAGAGAGGGGAGGGGAUUCCCCUCUGUCCAGCCUCGACAGUCCCUCAGCAUAAGUAAGAUUGGAGAGAUUUGCUAUUCCCAUCCUGGACCCCCCCUUCCAGUGACCAUGAGCCCCCCCGGAAGGGAAACGAACCUUGAGUGGGAGGGGGAGGUGGCAGCACAAUUGGAGCCUUGGAAUCCACCUUGACACUGGCAUGGGCUGGGCUAAGAAGAAGGUCAAUGGCCUCUUCUCCCUUCCUACAGAUGACCCCGACCCGGGAGGAGAACCAAAGACCACAUAAGUGGGCUCUUGGGCUGCUGGUGUCUCCUUUCCUGCCGCCAUCCCUUCACAUCAGGAGAUCCUCCGUGACCUGGGAAGACUGGGCAUCACCUUGGCAUCGACCAGGUCCUGGUCUCGGUCUUUCUAAAGGGAGGAGGAGGAGUCAGGAUUCUGGCCUUGGUUUUCUUCCCUCUUCCUUCCUCCCUCCAGGUCUUCUUACAUGGCUUGGCGCCUUUCUUUA